AAGCCUUGUAUAUGGGUGGAACAGCCGAAAGGCGUUCCGACGCGAGCUGUUAUGCGUGGUUAGCCCUAAGUACGGGGCUUUU
rnacentral:sRNA from 12 species